GGAAGAAUCAAGGAUUGAAAAGGGGUUCAUAGAGCUGAAUCACCUCUCAAUGGAAAUGAAAGAGGAUAGCAAGAUAAUUGCCCUCCAACAGGUGCUAGUCGUAACGAAAUGUCCUAAAACAGGUGCUAAUUAUUCACUACACCAACACAGGUAUUUAAAGCAUGGCAAGCACAGAUUCACCAACACAGGUAUUUAAAGCACGGCAAGCGCAGAUUCAUGAACUGGCUUCUCGUGUCACAACUGACAAAGUAACCAUUGGAAAUAAAUCAAAUAAAUUUAGUUCAGCAUAAUUAUUCAGGAAUCCAACUGUUUCAUAACAUCGAGAGUCAGUAUUGGAU
rnacentral:lncRNA from 1 species